CGGUUGUGCCAAAUCUGUUAAAAGAUCGAGAAGCAGUAAUAAAAGCACUAUAAGUGUAGAAACCAUUGCCAGGACAACGUGAAUCAUUUAGAUAUUUAAGCAUAUUACUAAAGAGGUGUUGUGUGAUAAUGCUGCCAAUAUCAUUGCCACUACACUGGCUCUGGCAGCCAGUUCUGCACACUUCUGCUACAAGAAUACUGCUAGACUACUUAGCGUCAAAGAGCCUACAACUUUUUCGUAUCCAUUGAUACUUGGUGUGGGUUUUCAGUUUUGGAUUGAACAAGUGCUAGAGGGUAUAUAUCCAUUUAAUGUAUAAAUUUUGUAAUUUCAUGAAUUAUACUUUCCGGCUGAAUUAAAAAAUAAAAUGAAGAAAAUGUUCCAGCUCCCGAAUCUAUCCAAUCUGAUCUGUGGACAAAUAUGAUUAUUUUAUUUCAUCAUUUAGUCCAUUAAAAUAAUUUUGUUAGAUUUUCAAAAUAGAUUUGACUAAAUAACAUAGAAAAGUAAUGCUGAUUGCAGGCAAAAUACUAUAAAAAGCCUUUUUUUUAAAUUUACCGAAAUGAGCCCGGUAUUUUAUUCUUUACCGGAAUGGCCCUUUUUCCUCGAAAUCAUAUCCACGUCAGCGCGAUGUCAGGGGACGUGGCAAAAAAUCGCGUCCCUGAGGGCGCGCUUUGCUUACUUGGACGAAAUUUGCUCCCUCAAGGGCACGUUUUGUUGCCACGUAAGCGCUCCAUUGGAAAAGCGUUUUGCCCGCGCGUGAACAGUAGCAACGACUACUUUUUUGACCGUUGGUGACCCCCCAACGGUAAAAAAAACUAUAAACCCCCCCACCUUUAUUUUUUUCACAACUAAAUCCUUUCUCUCAAUUUUUCUCUAAUAUUCUCUCAAAUUCCUCUCAAAUUCCUCUUAAUUUCCUCUCAAAUUCCUCUCAAAUUCCUCUUAAUUUCCUCUCAAAUUCCUCUCAAAUUUCUAUUUAAAAGAUCUUUAAAAUUUUAAUUAUUUUUAAAAUAGUUUUAAAAUUUAUUUUUUUGAAUUUUUUUAAAUCGUAAAAAUUUGUACCAAUUUAGCAAUAGUCGGAGAAUUGAUUCGUAUUAAUGACAAGCAUAUAUCUGUAGAACAAAUGAAUAUGGUAAGUGUUAAAUUUAAUUUUUAAAUAUUAUUUAAGAUUUUUUUAUUUAUGCAAUUUUAAAUAAUUAUUAUUUUAUUAUUUAAUUAUUUGUUAUAAAAGUCUGUAGAUCGGAUAUUCCAAUUUUAUAUCCGCAAUAUGCAUGGUCCCCCAUCACCAUUGGUAGAGAAUUACCUGCGGGAGACAGGUUUUUGGCACGUGGCGACGGUAGGCCGGGGAUGCAAGUUGGACCCGAAACUCAUCAGUGCGUUGAUUGAGAGGUGGAGACCUGAGACGCAUACAUUCCAUCUUCCAUGUGGAGAGUGCACUAUCACUUUGGAAGAUGUCAAAUUACAAUUAGGGUUGCCAGUGGAUGGGUACGCAGUCACUGGGUCCUGUUCAAUCUGGUGAUUGGGGAGCGGUAUGCUAUGAGCUGUUGGGCGCUAUUCUGGAGAAUAUUAACGGAGGUCGAAUCGAGAUGGGCUAGUUACGAGACACAUUCCCAAAGAUGAUGAUUCAACCGAAAUAGAAAGAAUCUGACAUGCUCGGACAUACAUUUUUCAAACAAUUAGAGGUUAUCUGAUGCCGGACUUGUUAAAAAACCUCGUGCAUCUAAGAUGGCUACUGAAACUCGUUGAUUUUCAAGCAGCUGGUGAAUUUAGCUGGGGGUUUACCGUGUUGGCAACAUUGUAUUGGGAGAUGUGUGGGGUGACGUGACCGAAUAAAGUGAAAAUCGAAGGUUGCUUGUCACUACUGCAGUCAUGGGCACGGUUUCGCUUUUUAUUUUUACGUUAUCAAGUGGACCACCCGUAUACAUUCUCACUUAUAACAAGGUAAAUUUUGUAUUAGAUUUUAUAAUUAUUACGUAGAUUUAAAAUAUAAUCGAAUGCUAAAAAUUUAUUUAAUUAGGUGGAACCAUCCAACAAAUUGUGCUCGAUUACCUACUUCUUUUAAAGAUAUACGGCUUCUAUUGGACCAACAGUUGGAAGCACAAGUAAGUAUUAAAUAAAAUAGAGAUUUUCAUAAUGAGAUAGUUGAUUGGUAUUUAGUAUUUAGUACAUAACUAAUAUUUCUAUCAUGGUCAUAUAGUUUCAAUGGACACCAUACGAGGAUCCGGUAAUUCGGGCAGUAAUUCCGGAUGAGUACUUCCAAAAUCCAAACGCUUGGCAUGCGAAAGUCCCAUUGGUCAACUUUGUGACUGUAAAGAUGCACCAGUUGGACAGAGUAUUGCGGCAAUUUGGAUUCUAACAAUCUAUUCCCGUGGCACCUGAGGUGUUGGAUGAUCAUCACAAAAUCGACCUACGGCAAUUACAUAUGGAUUGAUCGAGAUUCUGGUCAUACUACAUCCAAAUGUGAGAAGAUCGAUAUGACUAUAUACCUACUCGGUAACCGAUCAUCGUUCUAGAUUUAGCGUGCGUGCCAGAAUAUAUGCUAUGAUUUUGGAUCUAUGGGAAGCCGUAUUUAUAGUCACCAGAGGAAAGGCAGCAGCAAUUGCGUGUCCAAAGGGAACGACGUGACCCUUUAAAUUCAAGAAGAAGUGACGACGACGCAGGCCCAUCAACGAGGCCCAAAAAUUCACCUGGCCCAUCAUCAGCACCCAUAACUUCAUCAGGCCCAGCAAUAGCACUGACACAGUCACUCGACCCAGCAGUUCAACCGACGAUACCCAUGGCAUAACCUUUUCAGAUGAUGCCAGGUGUGUAUCCUAGCCCUUAUAUAUGUCCUAACCCUUAUAUAUUUCCUUUUUCUAGUCCCAUGACAGGUUAGAGUCAAUGGCCCGGUUUAUUUCCAUUUUUGAUUACACCGAGUGGACAGCCGAUGUUUAGGCCAUCGUCGCAUGAGGGAUCGUAAGAGGGGCCGUCGGGGAGCUCUUCUUUUUACCAAACCUUAUUACUGUAUGGAUUUCAAACACCUUAGUCGUUGGUGAUGCAAACACCUCUACAUUCACUAUUCUAUCAAAGUGGAUCAUUGUCCUAACACCGACAACCAGAUCCCCUACCGGAUGAACCAGAAUCCACGUCGGAGCAACAACAACCCCCGCUGGAAGUUAGACAAAAAAGAAAUCUAGCGCGUAACCGUCGACGACCGCCAUGUGGCACUGAAUUCAACGGGCACGGAGAUUGAAUUUUAUUUUAAUAUUUUUGUACAAAAUAGUUUCUAUUAAUGUAAUAAAAUAUAAAAUAGUUUAUUUUGAAUAUUUUGAUAUUAUUUCAUUUAAUAAAAUAUAAAAUAAUUUUGAAUAAAGUGAUUGUAAUUUACUUUAAUAUUUUUAAUGAAAUAAAUUUAAAAUAAAAUAAGUAAAUAUUUUGAAUAUUUGUGCCAAUUUUUUAUUUCAAAAAAAUAUAAAUAAUACAAAGUUGUUUACAAUGACGUUCAACUAUUGCGAUUUGGGCAUGAUCGACUUGUAUGGCCUGGAUUCCUACACCAUCCACACAACUUCUAUUGACUGGCUAUUUCUCAGAUAUCCCCUCACUGGUGGACGUCGUAGGGAGUACAUCAUCCCUUCUUUUGGGCAUUUCAUAAUGUCUCCAAUUGGAUGUAGAUUGCCAACCACUAGAACUUGAUGCUGUUUCCCAGUACAUAUUUCUAGCAUCAAACAUCGAGCCAUCGACGUACAUGUCCCAUCCACCAAUAGAGUGUCUUGCAGGGGAUGUGCAUUCCACACCGCUACUAAACACGGGCUGUUCCGUGUUUUGUAACCCGCUAACCGAGUGUCGGUCAGGGGUCGUGUAUACUUCUCGAACACCAGUCGCAAGUACAUCAUUUGGCGAUGUAAAUUGUACAUAUAACUCAAUAUAAGGUGCUCCACUAGCAAGAUGAGUCUACACCAUUGCCUCCAAGCUACGAGCACCUUUUAUGUCGAACGAGUCAUAUGUCACAGGAUCAACAGAAGAACAAAAUCGAUACAUAAUAAACAGAACUUUCAUUGGCGUUGUUCCAAAAAUUUUACGCCUAAUCUUUUACGAAGUUCUGUCAAAUCUAUGUUCUGGUUAAAAACCGGUCGCAUUGUAUUCUCCGAUAAAAAAAUAACACCGUUCUCGGUGUGGCAAAUCUCACCAUCAUAGUAAAUAACAUCACUAAGACGUUCACUCAUCUUUAAUUUCUAACCUUCUUAGCCUCUAUAAAUUGUUUUUGCUGUAACUUAUGCAAUCUGAGAAUAUUUUUUUGCCUCAUUUAUAACCUCAGCCCAAACAUGAUACUGUAGCAAAAACGUGUCCACGUGGGAGCGAUUUUAGUAUUUCUUCUCAUAAAGCAUCCUGCUUAAAGCAUUUUACACACUAUUUGCUCAGAAACGUCAACUCGAAAUUAUUUUUUCAGGACCUAUUGUAGCAAAAGCGCGUCCACGUGGGAGCGAUUUCAGAAAUUCUUCUAAUAAAGCAUCCUACUUGAAGUGGUUUUUAUACUAUUUGCUCAGAAACGUCAACUCGGAAUUAUUUUUUCAGGACCUACUGUAGCAAAAGCGCGUCCACGUGGGAGCGAUUUCCUUAAUAAAUUUUUAAUUUAAUUACUCACGUAACCCUAAACCCAAAUUUAAUUAAUUUUUUCUUAAAAACCCAUAAACACGAAACCUAAUCCAAUUUUUAAAAAAAUAUAAUUAAUUUAAUUAAGAAAUCCUAAACCAUAAUCCUUUAUUUGUUUAAUUUUCUCCAAAACCUUAAAAAUUUUAAAAACCCUAAACCCUAACCCUAACCGUAACUCUAACCCUAACCCUAAAAACCUAAAACCUAACGUGGAGAAAUGGGCAAAACGAGUCCCCAAGGGAGCGCUUAUGUGGCAACAAAACGCGCCCUUGAGGGAGCGAUUGCCGUCUACUUAAGCAAAGUGCGCCCUUAGGGACACAAUUUCGGGGAAAAGGGCCAUUCCGGUAAAUAAUAAAAUAAAUGGCCCAUUUCGGUAAAUUUAAAAAAAGGGCUUUUAAUGGUGUUUUGCCCGCUGAUUGCGGCGAAAUUACUCCUUUAAUUUUUUUUAUUAAUUUUGUCACUGUUAUUAGAAAAGUAUUAAUAUUUUUUUCAUCUAAUAUCUAAGAUAUUCUGUUGAAAAAAUUACAAAAUAAAAAAAUAUUCUUUUAAUUCUUUUAAAGAUUACAAAAUUUGGGUAAACUACAAAAAAAGUCACUUUUGUUUGCCUCAAGUUACAUUUUAGUCACUUAUGUUUGAAAUCUUACGUUUUGGUCACUUAUGUUAUUAUUUUGUUACGAAGUGAUCACUCUUCCGUUAAGUUCUGUUAUAUCCCUAACGGUAAUCCUACGUGGCAGCCCAACUAGAUUUUAAGUGUCAACUUGAAUUUCCUAAUAGAAUGAUGAUAGAUUUUUAAUUAAAUAAAUUUAAUUAAUUAAAAAUUUUAAACCCUAAAACUUAAUUAAAAAACUGUUCAUCUCCCCCUUUUUUUAGUUUUCUUUUUCAGUUGACUAAGAAAACAGUCAUGUCUUUGAGCAGGCCUCAGUAAUCAUCAAUAGCUUGACUCCAUAUAUUUAAGAACAUAAAGCUUCUGCCUUUUUUCUGUCACAUAAAAAAGAUAAAAGGAAAAAGAAGGAAAACCCCACUCCAAAUUUCUCUGCAUUUUUCCAAGACUCGAUGAAGAUUGGCAAUCAUAUAACAGAGUAAGAUUGGUAUUCUGAGAACUGGGAACAAAUGACUCAGAAUUUAGGAUCGAAUCUUGAAUUGGAAUUUGAGGACGACAAGAGCCAUUGUUGAUGAAGUCCUCCCUCGCAAUUCUUAGAAUCUGACUUUCAUGAUGAAUGUCCAAUACCUUAUACUUAAUACCAACAAUUUCAAUCUUAGUAGUAUUAGUAAAAUCGUCACAGCGAAGCUCCAAAUUAGGAUGUUCACAUUCUGGUUCUCGAUCACCUCCGGAGAAAGGAUAUCCAAUGGAGAUAUUCCCACAUUUGAACACUGCAUCACGACACUUCUCGUACAAUUGACUAGGACUGGGUGGUGAAACAAGAAAUGCAAGAUUAAGCAAAACAGAAGAAGAGGUAGAAAGAAAUAGAAUCCAAUUUCUUUUUCAAAAAUUUUCAGAGAAGAGAUAUAAGAAAGGGUUGAUUGCUAAUGUCACCUAUCGUGGUGACAUCAACAAUCACCACUACCUUGAGAUCGUCGGUUCGUAUAAGACUUUAUGUUGAAAUUGACAUGCAUUUAUUAUCUAUGUUGGGAUCGUCCGCUUGUAUGAAGCCUUUGGUUAUAGCAAUCCAAGUUGCUCCUGUAGCUUACACCUAAUAUGUCACAGUACCUUCGAUAGAAACCAAUCCUGUCCGCCACUCUGUCAUCAGGACCAUGACCGCACUCUAGCUCACCAUUGAUUAUGUUACUGAUGACUCCAUAGCCAGGGAGCCAACCUGCAUCCCUUUCUGCAGCAGACGGUGUCCAUUGCCCAACAAUUACGUUAUGGCUUGAUGGUUUGUUUCCUUACGGGGUCAUCCAAAACCAAAUGGCCGUCUUGAAAGAUAUAGUCGGGUUGGUGGCUACGAGGUCUGAAUUAUUUAUUAGGUCUACUCCAAUGUCUCUUCUAGCUGGCCCAUGAUGAAGUUGCUGAGGAAAUUAAAUUGUGAAAGUUGUGUUGAGUCAGUUAACAACAUCAUGAACUAGUACUUCAUUAGUCAAGCGACUGAGAAACUUACUAAGCUAAUUGGAAGGGUCCUCGUCCAUAAUACAAUCUUCCACGAGGACACGGCUAGACACCAGGAAGACAAUAUGCUUGGUGGUUGUUUUGUUGCCUUAUAAAGCAAUAUCCCUAUGCAUAUGGGCCAUCUGGUGCACUUGGCCAUCCUCCUGUUGUUUCAUGAGAGGUUUGAGCUAAGAAAGCUGCGAGUUCCCUCUUUCUGGUUGUAAGAUCUCCGGUUGUGCCAAAUCCGUUAAAGAUCAAGCAGCGAUAAUGAAAGCACUAUAAGUGUAGAAACCAUUUCCAGGACAACGUGAAUAAUUUAGAUAUUUAAGCAUAUUAUUAAUGAGGUGUUGAGUGAUAAUGCUGCCAAUAUCAUUGCCACUACACUGGCUCUGGCAGCUAGUUCUGCAGUAGUCAGACGUGCUGCCACACAUCCCAAAUUGACUGCAACACAGUCCAUUUGGACAUAGAGCACCUCCUGCUUGUCUUCC
rnacentral:lncRNA from 1 species